rnacentral:misc_RNA from 1 species
GAUGAAGAACGUAGCGAAAUGCGAUAAGUAAUGUGAAUUGCAGAAUUCAGUGAAUCAUCGAAUCUUUGAACGCACAUUGCGCCCCUUGGUAUUCCGAGGGGCAUGCCUGUUCGAGCGUCAUAUUAACCACUCCCGCUUGCGGGGUCUUGGGCUUCGCCUCCGGGCGGGCCUUAAAAUCAGUGGCGGUGCCGUCGGGCUCUACGCGUAGUAAAUUUUCUCGCGAUAGGGUCCCGGUGGAUGCUUGCCAACAACCCCCAACUUCUUAAGGUUGACCUUGGAUCAGGUAGGGAUACCCGCUGAACUUAAGCAUAUCAAUAAGCGGAGGA